GUCCACGCCCUAAACGAUGCGAACUGGAUGUUGGGUGCAAUUUGGCACGCAGUAUCGAAGCUAACGCGUUAAGUUCGCCGCCUGGGGAGUACGGUCGCAAGACUGAAACUCAAAGGAAUUGACGGGGGCCCGCACAAGCGGUGGAGUAUGUGGUUUAAUUCGAUGCAACGCGAAGAACCUUACCUGGUCUUGACAUCCACGGAACUUUCCAGAGAUGGAUUGGUGCCUUCGGGAACCGUGAGACAGGUGCUGCAUGGCU
rnacentral:rRNA from 1 species